rnacentral:rRNA from 1 species
GAUGAACGCUGGCGGCGUGCCUAAUACAUGCAAGUCGAGCGAACGGACGAGAAGCUUGCCUUUCUGAUGUUAGCGGCGGACGGGUGAGUAACACGUGGAUAACCUACCUAUAAGACUGGGAUAACUUCGGGAAACCGGAGCUAAUACCGGAUAAUAUUUUGAACCGCAUGGUUCAAAAGUGAAAGACGGUCUUGCUGUCACUUAUAGAUGGAUCCGCGCUGCAUUAGCUAGUUGGUAAGGUAACGGCUUACCAAGGCAACGAUGCAUAGCCGACCUGAGAGGGUGAUCGGCCACCCUGGAAGUGAGACACGGUCCAGACUCCUACGGGAGGCCGCAGUAGGGAAUCUUCCGCGAUGGGCGAAAGCCUGACGGAGCAACGCCGCGUGAGUGAUGAAGGUCUUCGGAUCGUAGAACUCUGUUAUUAGGGAAGAACAUAUGUGUAAGUAACUGUGCACAUCUUGACGGUACCUAAUCAGAAAGCCACGGCUAACUACGUG